rnacentral:rRNA from 1 species
UACAGAGGGUGCGAGCGUUAAUCGGAAUUACUGGGCGUAAAGGGCGCGUAGGCGGGUUUAUAAGUUAUGUGUGAAAUCUCUGGGCUUAACCUGGGAACUGCACAUAAUACUGUAAGUCUAGAGCAGAGUAGAGGAAAGUGGAAUUUCCGGUGUAGCGGUGAAAUGCGUAGAUAUCGGAAGGAACACCAGUGGCGAAGGCGGCUUUCUGGACUCAUACUGACGCUGAGGCGCGAAAGCUAGGGGAGCGAACGGG